rnacentral:rRNA from 1 species
UGCGUAGGCGGUUUGGUAAGUCAGAUGUGAAAUUCCUGGGCUCAACCGAGGAACUGCAUUUGAUACUGCCAGACUAGAGUACUGGAGAGGAGACUGGAAUUCACGGUGUAGCAGUGAAAUGCGUAGAUAUCGUGAGGAAGGCCAGUGGCGAAGGCGAGUCUCUGGACAGUAACUGACGCUGAGGCACGAAGGCCAGGAGAGCAAACG